rnacentral:tRNA from 1 species
GCCCGGGUGCCGGAACGGCAGACGGAGGUGCCUUAAAAGCACCGGCCCGAAAGGGCGUGUGGGUUCGAGUCCCACCCCGGGCA